UAGGGAAUCUUCGGCAAUGGGGGCAACCCUGACCGAGCAACGCCGCGUGAGUGAAGAAGGUUUUCGGAUCGUAAAGCUCUGUUGUAAGUCAAGAACGGGUGUGAGAGUGGAAAGUUCACACUGUGACGGUAGCUUACCAGAAAGGGACGGCUAACUACGUGCCAGCAGCCGCGGUAAUACGUAGGUCCCGAGCGUUGUCCGGAUUUAUUGGGCGUAAAGCGAGCGCAGGCGGUUUGAUAAGUCUGAAGUUAAAGGCUGUGGCUCAACCAUAGUUCGCUUUGGAAACUGUCAAACUUGAGUGCAGAAGGGGAGAGUGGAAUUCCAUGUGUAGCGGUGAAAUGCGUAGAUAUAUGGAGGAACACCGGUGGCGAAAGCGGCUCUCUGGUCUGUAACUGACGCUGAGGCUCGAAAGCGUGGGGAGCGAACAG
rnacentral:rRNA from 2 species